UGAGCACCCAAACCCAAGAGCUGCUGCUUCUCGUUGCCGCAGCUUAAACAGCGGUGCCGACAGCAAUUGCAUCUCGUCGCCUUUGGGGGGCUGGGCGGUGUCCCUCAGAGUGAAUUUGGAGGUUCUACAGGA